UACGUAGGUGGCAAGCGUUGUCCGGAUUUACUGGGCGUAAAGAGCGCGCAGGCGGUCGUUCAAGUCGCGUGUGAAAGCCCCCGGCUCAACUGGGGAGGGUCACGCGAUACUGAUCGACUCGAAGGCAGGAGAGGGAAGUGGAAUUCCCGGUGUAGCGGUGAAAUGCGCAGAUAUCGGGAGGAACACCCGUAGCGAAGGCGGCACUCUGGGCCGGUACUGACGCUGAGGAGCGAAAGCGUGGGGAGCAAACAGG
rnacentral:rRNA from 1 species